AAUCGUCAUGAACUGGGAGUGAAGAACUCUGAGGCCAAGUUGUAACAGAGAACUAACCUGGAGGGAUUGUUACACAAGGCAGACAUCACCUUCUAUUUUGUUAAUCUAAUGAUGUAUCACAGCGUGCUCGUUAGCAAGCUCUGCCUUUAUUAGUACAAGACAGUCAAGCCAAGAGUGAGGGUACAGAUGGGCAAUUGGAAGUUUUCUUUUUCAUUUACCAAUUACUCUGCUUAAAGAAGUAUGUGAGGAGCGUUGAGAGUUCCCAAGGUGCGAGAGAGACGGCGGGC
rnacentral:lncRNA from 1 species